CCUACGGGGGGCAGCAGUGGGGAAUAUUGCUCAAUGGGGGAAACCCUGAAGCAGCAACGCCGCGUGGAGGAUGAAGGUUUUCGGAUUGUAAACUUCUUUUGUUAGAGAAGAAAAUGACGGUAUCUAACUAAGAAGCACCGGCUAACUCCGUGCCAGCAGCCGCGGUAAUACGUAGGGUGCAAGCGUUACUCGGAUUCACUGGGCGUAAAGAGCGCGUAGGCGGGAUAGCAAGUCAGAUGUGAAAUCCUAUGGCUUAACCAUGGAACUGCCUUUGAAACUGUUGUACUAGAGUAUGGGAGAGGUAGGAGGAAUUCUUGGUGGAGGGGGAAAAUCCGUAGAGAUCAAGAGGAAUACUCAUUGCGAAGGCG
rnacentral:rRNA from 1 species